AAUGGGCACCCAUUCGGGGGGAGGGCAAGACGGAAAACUCGCUGGCUUAAAAAACUAAUUGUUAACAUAUAAUGAUUAAAAUCUCUAUUUAGCAUAAAUUUUGAAAAUCCACCUCCCUCUGAAAUUUCAUCCACGAGCGAUUAUUAAGCCAUGUUCUAGGAACAAUAUCCGACAUGAUUUCGGGAUAAAAUCGUAUUUUCAGUUAUUCGGUUUAUAACUU